AAAGAAGUACUGCGGACCAGACGACCUUGACAGAUAAGUUUUUUUCAGUGAUUGUAAACAUUAAAAUGUAGCACGAAAGUUCAUUGUUUUUUAGUUAUAAUUGACAUGAAUAGAGCCAUUGAUGUAAUUGUGUUGUGAAAUUCACAGUUCGUGUCCAAAAAUGCUUGUUUUAAUAUACAACAAAGACGGAGACAUGAUACCGUGCCGACACCGUAAAGAAUCGUCGUUUUCAAUCGUUUGUGUAUAUGAUGAACAGAAAUAUAAGUGUUUUUGCAUGAAUAUGUAUUUUGUUUCAUCUCAUGGUAUGCAAAAAUCAUGAUUUACUCCUGGCGACCCCACUUUCGAAGUUUUUUGUUUUCAUAUUUCUCAAUGAAAAUAAAAGGAAGUGGUAAGGGGUCCGGUACCGGACCUCUAGACACGGAGUCUAGAGGUCCGGUAAUCAAUAUGCUCGUACCGUUAUGUACUGUGUUACCAGUGUAUAUAUGAUAAUAACCGAGAAAAGCUGUUAUUAGUUGUCAUGAAGUAGCCGAUAUGUGACGCACCAUGACAUUUUGGGUCCAAAUUCGGGUUACGUCAUUUGAGAAAACAUCGAUUAAAGUUACGUCACAAAAAAAUGGCGGACGUUACCACGUGUUCGCGGCAAUUAAUGCGUUUCUUGUUUUCAAUGAUACUCUACCUUGCCACAAGAAAAAAAUGAAGUGACAUUUAUAAACAUUUCCGUGUUUUGCAAUUCCGUUUCUUUAAAAAAUUUAAAUGAUUGAUAAUUUAUCGCCGUUUGUAUCGACACGCCAUUUGUAAGCAUCGAAGGUCGUGGAGAAAAUGAAACUACCAAAAACAAUUAUUUGAUGAUUUAUUUCGAUUGUAUAAAGAAUGACAGUUAGCGAAUCUCAAGAUCAACCACUGAGGAUUGUUUGGCUUGAUGCAAUUGCCCUAAACAGUGAAAUGAUUUUCCAGGAAGGUCUAUACACCACAAGCUGGAUUUUAUGGGGUGAUGAAAGAACUAUGAAUAUGUAAAUGGGAAUGAAACAGAGGAAUUAAUAUGUUCUACUGAUCAUCCAGCUGAAAUCAUGCCUGUGGAAUAGAAUGCAUGUCACAAAUACUGAUAUGAGCAAAUAACUCCAUAUUGCACAAAUAAGGUCAUGUUUCCUGCCCUCAUGACCUGAAAAAGUUAAAAAUUCUAGUUCAAAUUACAAAUGUGUUUCAAAAAAAGUAAAACUUAGUCAACUGUGAGAAAUAUUGGGAAAAAGUAGUGUUUUGAUGUCAUGACAGCUGUGAAGUUGUUUGAGAAGCACUAUCCUAAUUGUUCUAAUAAUACAGAAUUUAACUUAUAAAUUUUCCAAAACUGCAUGCAUGAAAUACUAAGACAUGUCUGUUGAAUGAAUCCUAGUUGUUUCAAAGCUACAACAUGUGUGACAUUAAAGCACAACCCUUGGAGGAAACAUUUUUACAAUCAAAACUGCCUUGCCAGUGUGAGUGUAGGAAGGAUUUUUACAGAAAUGGCAGAAAACUACCAAUAUAGCAGAAAAUAUUUGUUACUGGCUGAAUAUAUUAUAUCUUAUUUCAAGAAUUACUAGUAAUCAUGUUAAUCCAUGGUUAUAAUUGUGUUAAUCCAUGGUUAUAAUUGUGUUAAAAGAUAUUUUUACAUGACAUGACCUUUGCAGAAAUAGCUAUUUUUUUUUUCAAAUCAUUGUGAGUUACCAUGGUAACACAAAUUUGACUUAAAUUUAGAUUUGUUUGAUUAUGUAAACAGCACGUGUCUUGUUUAUAUUCUGCUAAUCAGACUAUGUUCUGCAAGAAAAAUAUCUUUUUUGUGUAACCAUCAACAAAACAUGUUAUAACACAAAUCUGCCAUAAAAUAGCACAGCUGUAAUGCAGGUAGGCAUAUCAGGAAAAUAUGUAGUUCUCAAAGACAAGUUAUAUUAUAUGAAAUGAUGUUUGCUUUUAUAAAUGAUCAUAAUUGACCAUUUGUGGUGUAAAACAAAUGUAUACUGAACAGAUGCUAAAUGAAUGUUCUGAUUCUUUCUGGAAAAUUUACAAAAAAAACUACUUUUUUAAGAAAAUGGUGCAUUGUUGCCAUGGUAACAUUAAUUUAACUUUUAAAUUAUUUUUGAUAUCAUCAUAUGUAAACAACAUCUUUCUUGUUUAUAUAUGUUAAGCUGCAUUAUGUUAGUGAAUGUUAUUUUCAUAUGUAAUAAUUGCAUCAACAAAGCACUAUGUUAUUACACAAGUCUGCCUUAAAAUGGCAAUAGUUGUAACUGAGAGAGGUGUAUCUGAAAAUUAUGUAUUUUUCAAACCAUAUUACAUUCAUUUUCAUGGAAUGAUGUCUACUCUCUUACUUUUAGAUAAGAAAACAGACAGCUUUUGAUGCAAAUAUAUGGAAAAACACUUCCAAUAUUCAAUUUAUUGCAAAGAAAUUGCCAAAAAUGUUAGUAUUUUUGUAAGAAAAUACCACAUAAUGCCAUGGUAAUGUUAGUAGUUUUGUAAGAAAAUACCACAUACUUGCCAUGGUAAUGAUUCACUGAUCAGUAUAACUAAGUCUUUUGAAAUUUUAGCAAACUCACAGAUGAUAAUAACAGUCUAAUAAUUAUAUCUUCUUGCCUGAUUUUCUUUCUUACUGUUUAAUAGAUAAGGUGUCUAUAAUAAUAAGAUUAAUGUCCUAGUUCUUGGGAUGUUGUCUAAUUUGAUAUCAAAUAAAUUCUGCAUCUUGUUCAAAAGAAUGUCAUAAAACAGUUGUCUGUAAACUGUUUGCACACUAGAAAAAGUUAAUUGUGUAUUUAUUUCACAUUCUAUGUAAUUUAUUGCUAGAUCCAUCAAGAGACUGUUAAAUAAGAGGUUAAACAACAGUGUUGCUAUAGAAACGAUUUUUAGAACAUAAAUAUUUUUAUACUACAUGAAAGAAACAAAAAGAUAUUAUUUAAAUAUGGUGUCAUUAUUAAGAUAUACUGCUUAAAUUUUGAUACAGUUAGACAAAAACAUGGUGUCCGGAAAGUGGUAAUAUCUCCAUGACAACGACUGAUUUUUGUUGUCAAAUUGAAGAUAUUUACUCAGAACGGGUCAGUCUGUCAGAUUAGCCCAAAACCCCACUUUUGACCAAAAUUGCAUUUGGACCCAAAAUCUAAUGCUCUGUCACAUAUUAUAAUAUUGUUAUUUUUGUAAAUAUUGUUAUUCAUUUUAGAAACAGCUCUCAAUCGGGUUGGAGACAUACUGAAUAUGAGCAACUUUUAUCGGCGAUUUUUGUUAGUCAUUGUUAUUUACUUUAGCAGUAAAAGGAACCCAGCAGUCCAUGAGCACAAUCCAUGUCUUAAAAACUCAAAAGCCGU